rnacentral:pre_miRNA from 1 species
AGCAAACCAAUUUUUCACUUUCUACUUAUAAUGUUUGACUUUUCGUUUUAUUAAAAAAAUUACGAUUAACAAUUUUAUUUUUAUUAGAUGAUAAAUCAUGAAUUAUACUUAAUGUGUAAGUAACUUUUUUUAAUUUCUUAAAAAAAAUUCAAAUAAGACGGAUAAUCAAACACUGAACACGAAAACCGAAGAGUUGACUUAUU